CAGCCGCCGCGGUAAUACCGGCGGCCCGAGUGGCGGCCACUAUUAUUGGGCCUAAAGCGUCCGUAGCCGGGCUGGUAAGUCCCCCGGGAAAUCUGGCGGCUUAACCGUCAGAAUUCCGGGGGAUACUGCCAGCCUAGGGACCGGGAGAGGCCGAGGGUAUUCCCGGGGUAGGGGUGAAAUCCUGUAAUCCCGGGAGGACCACCUGUGGCGAAGGCGCUCGGCUGGAACGGGUCCGACGGUGAGGGACGAAGGCCAGGGGAGCGAACCGGAUUAGAUACCCGGGUAGUCCUGGCUGUAAACGAUGCGGACGAGGUGUCGGGCAAGCUAAGGGCUUGUCCGGUGCCGCAGGGAAGCCGUUAAGUCCGCCGCCUGGGGAGUACGGCCGCAAGGCUGAAACUUAAAGGAAUUGGCGGG
rnacentral:rRNA from 1 species